rnacentral:lncRNA from 1 species
UAUCCUUGUUUAAAAGUAGCCUUUGAACUUAUUAUAGAAGUUUUUUCUUCAAGCCUUGCAAGUUUGAUUUGAAGAUCUCGCAUCCCUUGUAUAAUCUCAUCAAGUCUCAUAUCUUCUUUCUUUGGUGUAGUCAAUGGAGGUUGGACAAUAGGCACAGUCAAUCACGCAAUAGGCAUUGGAUUUUUGGUACUUGUACCACUCUUCG